rnacentral:rRNA from 1 species
UAACGCGAAGAACCUUACCAGGUCUUGACAUACUCGUGCUAUUCCUAGAGAUAGGAAGUUCCUUCGGGACACGGGAUACAGGUGGUGCAUGGUUGUCGUCAGCUCGUGUCGUGAGAUGUUGGGUUAAGUCCCACAACGAGCGCAACCCCUAUUGUUAGUUGCCAUCAUUAAGUUGGGCACUCUAACGAGACUGCCGGUGAUAAACCGGAGGAAGGUGGGGAUGACGUCAAAUCAUCAUGCCCCUUAUGACCUGGGCUACACACGUGCUACAAUGGAUGGUACAACGAGUCGCGAGACAGUGAUGUUUAGCUAAUCUCUUAAAACCAUUCUCAGUUCGGAUUGUAGGCUGCAACUCGCCUACAUGAAGUCGGAAUCGCUAGUAAUCGCGGAUCAGC